ACUCAAAGGAAUUGACGGGGGCCCGCACAAGCGGUGGAGCAUGUGGUUUAAUUCGACGCAACGCGAAGAACCUUACCAGGGCUUGACAUCCCUUGCUAUCCUUGGAAACAAGGAGUUCCCUUCGGGGACAAGGAGACAGGUGGUGCAUGGUUGUCGUCAGCUCGUGUCGUGAGAUGUUGGGUUAAGUCCCGCAACGAGCGCAACCCUUAUCCUUAGUUGCCAUCAUUAAGUUGGGCACUCUAGGGAGACUGCCGGUGACAAACCGGAGGAAGGUGAGGACGACGUCAAAUCAUCAUGCCCCUUAUGUCCUGGGCUACACACGUGCUACAAUGGUCUGUACAACAGGUAGCCAAGGCGCGAGCCGGAGCCAAUCCUAAUAAAGCAGACCUCAGUUCGGAUUGUAGGCUGCAACUCGCCUACAUGAAGUCGGAAUCGCUAGUAAUCGCGGAUCAGCAUGUCGCGGUGAAUACGUUCCCGGGCCUUGUACACACCGCCCGU
rnacentral:rRNA from 1 species